UGCGGGAUAGAGCAGAUGGCAGCUCGUUGGUCUCAUAAGCCAAAGGUCACAAGUUCGAAUCUUGUUCCUGCAACCA
rnacentral:tRNA from 1 species